UACGUAGGGCGCAAGCGUUGUCCGGAAUUAUUGGGCGUAAAGAGCUCGUAGGCGGUUUGUCGCGUCUGCUGUGAAAACCUAAGGCUCAACCUUGGGCUUGCAGUGGGUACGGGCAGACUAGAGUGCGGUAGGGAGACUGGAAUUCCUGGUGUAGCGGUGAAAUGCGCAGAUAUCAGGAGGAACACCGGUGGCGAAGGCGGGUCUCUGGGCAGUAACUGACGCUGAGGAGCGAAAGCGUGGGGAGCGAACAGG
rnacentral:rRNA from 1 species